GACGAACGCUGGCGGCGUGCUUAACACAUGCCAGUCGAACGGAAAGGCCCUGCUUUUGUGGGGUGCUCGAGUGGCGAACGGGUGAGUAACACGUGAGUAACCUGCCCUUGACUUUGGGAUAACUUCAGGAAACUGGGGCUAAUACCGGAUAGGAGCUCCUGCUGCAUGGUGGGGGUUGGAAAGUUUCGGCGGUUGGGGAUGGACUCGCGGCUUAUCAGCUUGUUGGUGGGGUAGUGGCUUACCAAGGCUUUGACGGGUAGCCGGCCUGAGAGGGUGACCGGCCACAUUGGGCCUGAGAUACGGCCCAGACUCCUACGGGAGGCAGCAGUGGGGAAUAUUGCACAAUGGGCGGAAGCCUGAUGAAGAAACGCCGCGUGCGGGGUGACGGCCUUCGGGUUGUAAACCGCUUUAGCCUGUGACGAAGCGUGAGUGACGGUAAUGGGUAAAGAAGCACCGGCUAACUACGUG
rnacentral:rRNA from 1 species